GGCUCUGUUGGUUCUCCCGCAACGCUACUCUGUUUACCAGGUCAGGUCCGGAAGGAAGCAGCCAAGGCAGAUGACGCGUGUGCCGGGAUGUAGCUGGCAGGGCC
rnacentral:rRNA from 1 species